rnacentral:lncRNA from 1 species
CCAUGUUGGCAACUCUGCGGAAAAGCAUUUGUACCUGAGAAAUUAACGCUACAGAGUCAGCAGUCAUUGUACUUAGUUUUUCAAGCUACUCGGCCUACAGACAACCAGACUGGUGGAAUCUCUUCAGAUAUCAAUCUCUCUAACUCGGAUGAGCCCACCUCUCUCCAUUCUCCUUUUUUGAUUUCUUGCGCAGAUCAAUAUCACACUCUAGUCAAACUUCCUCUCAAGAAAAUAAAAAAGAUCUUAACUUUGGGACAACACUAGAUGCUGUACUUAUUGUAAGAUGGAAGGGUCGUCUGGUGGAGACAGGUGGGAAAAAUAGGAUCUCAAUGGGGCAACAUCACCUGCGGAUGAAACAAUUCGACGUAAUGGUGACGUGCCCUCCAAUCAUAAUCCAGCCAAAAACCAAGGAGCCAUUGACAUUACUUAAGAUUUUUGGACCAGAUCGAAAUUGCGACCAUGUCCUAGCUGCAGCAAAUCAACAACAUGAGCUCGAUGCAUCCGCCAUCCAACACAUUGGUCAUGUUCACGAUCAGUCACCAGCAACUUGUUAAUCACAAUUUUAGUGAAAAUAGGCUGUGUAUGGUUCCUGUCAAGAUUUCAUUGCGUAAUUGCUCAGACUCUCAGGUGGAUGUGAAAGUCAUGGCAGUUCUCCCUCCCUCAAGACAAAAUCCUGUGGCAUCAACAGAAGGCUCCUCCUCAUUUUUAUGGCUAGGACGCACUAUUAGAAUUAUUAGUUUGAAGUCGUAUGCCCUCUAUUCCGUGCAGCUUCUUGCUGCGAUUUCAUAUCCAGGCUCAUACAAUCUCGGAUCUCGUCUGGUAGUCUCCGCCAAGAAUGAAUUCAUGCCAAACCUUGUACCCCAAUGCUGGAAAUUUGACACUGUUGUAAUGGUAAACAAUGCAUCCUCCUAG